GGAGUUUGGGCCGUGUCUCAGUCCCAAUGUGGCCGUUCAAUCUCUCAGUCCGGCUACUGAUCGUAACCUUGGUGGGCCGUUACCUCACCAACCAGUUAAUCAGACGCGGGUCCAUCUCAUAGCGAUAAAUCUUUUCCCCCUGUACCAUGCGGUACUGUGGGCUUAUGCGGUAUUAGCGGUCGUUUCCAGCCGUUAUCCCCCUCUAUGAGGCAGGUUACCCACGCGUUACUCACCCGUCCGCCACUAAACUUAAAUCAACUUUGACGAAUCUCCGUUAAUAAAAGUUCCGUUCGACUUGCAUGUGUUAGGCACGCCGCCAGCGUUCAUC
rnacentral:rRNA from 1 species